rnacentral:ribozyme from 1 species
GUAAUACAGUAUUUGAGUAUUUUGAUUUCUCGUGCUUUAAAAAAAAAAAAACGCCAUGCAGCAAGCGGGUAAUCCCAACCUCCCUGGUUUACGCCAAAGCGAAAUU